UUCCUUUGCCUAUUUUUUUCAAAACACGAAAUGAAUAUGCAUUCAAUUAGCCAAUACACAAGUCAUAUCCGUGUUCUAAUAUAAACAACAGUUUGAUUUACCGACAAUUAAAAAAUAGCCCCAAGUAAAAAAUGACGCGUAGAAGGCCACCCCUCCAUGGAUGACAUCGUGAAGCAGUUGUGUAACAAAGCAUCACAUCUCCGGGACUGUCGCUUGUGCAACAGGAGCUGAACACCUGCCAAGAUUUGGACUGAGUUUUCUGUUAAUCAUCAAAGACAGGAACAUCACCAGUAUGGCCGAACAGUUGUCCGAACUGGCCAGCACUGUCUCCGGUCUGGUCAGCACUGCCCAGGGGCAUGGUGAGGAGCUGGAGACCAUCAGUAACACCCUGGCCUCAGUAUUCGGCUUCAAGAAAGACAAAUCUGGAGAAAAGUCUGAGGAACAAGGGGAAGAAGGAAAAGAUGGAGAGGAAGAAAACGGUGAUGAUGAUGAGGGGACAUCAUGAUGGCGGAGGUACAAGUUGGCAGUGAUCCCUCGGCAUCUUCUACACAACUCAUUGUCUAUACUUUUUAUCUAUUUAUGCAUCUUAAGGGUAGUCCCAACAAGACUUCUAUUAAAAAACAACGCACAUGUAGAUGUCAAAUAUAGAGUCGGAUGAGAAAGUUGUAUACGGUGAGCAAUGUGCUAGUGGUGACAGAGAAAUGGACUAUACAAUGAACAUACUAUACACAAGUGUAGCAGGGUGGGAUAACUAAAACCAUGGAAUUCAUCUAUUCAGCACCUUGUAGACCGCUGACGAUCAUUGAUUGGUCAACUGUAAAGCUGCCUUCCCUUACAUCAAAAUCAUCACCAGACAAUGAGGCACACAAGAUACAAGAAACUAAUGUGAAGUGAGAAAACUUUCUUUAUUUUUAGUCAUAAAGGAACAAAGUUAAUUUAGAACUUAACAAUCUAGGAAACUACAUAGUAAAGUAAUAUGACCAUCUAUGUUGGAACAAAUAAAGAAAAGAUGUGAAACUGA